UACGUAGGGGGCGAGCGUUGUCCGGAAUCAUUGGGCGUAAAGAGCGUGUAGGCGGCCCAGUAAGUCGGAUGUGAAAGCCCGAGGCUCAACUUCGGAAUUGCAUUCGGUACUGCUGGGCUUGAGGAAGGUAGAGGAGAGUGGAAUUCCCGGUGUAGCGGUGGAAUGCGCAGAUAUCGGGAGGAACACCAGCGGCGAAGGCGGCUCUCUGGGCCUCUCCUGACGCUGAGACGCGAAAGCGUGGGUAGCAAACAGG
rnacentral:rRNA from 1 species